CCUACGGGAGGCAGCAGUGGGGAAUAUUGGGCAAUGGGCGCAAGCCUGACCCAGCAACGCCGCGUGAAGGAAGAAGGCUUUCGGGUUGUAAACUUCUUCUAAGAGGGAAGAGCAGAAGACGGUACCUCUUGAAUAAGCCACGGCUAACUACGUGCCAGCAGCCGCGGUAAUACGUAGGUGGCAAGCGUUGUCCGGAUUUACUGGGUGUAAAGGGCGUGCAGCCGGGAAGACAAGUCAGAUGUGAAAGCCCGCGGCUCAACCGCGGAACUGCAUUUGAAACUGUUUUUCUUGAGUACCGGAGAGGUCAUCGGAAUUCCUUGUGUAGCGGUGAAAUGCGUAGAUAUAAGGAAAAACACCAGUGGCGAAGGCGGAUGACUGGACGGCAACUGACGGUGAGGCGCGAAAGCGUGGGGAGCAAACAGGAGUAGAUACCCUGGUAGUC
rnacentral:rRNA from 1 species